rnacentral:lncRNA from 1 species
GAUUUCCAAUAUAUGAAGCACCUUCAUGUAACCAAUCAGAACAGAAGAAGACUUCUUUCUUACCUUGCCAGGUGAGCCCUGUCAUCACAGAUUUCCCUCGCAUCCUGACAAAACCCAGCUGUGUUGGGUCUCAAAUAGACUUUCACUUUCCUCUCCUCUGCAAACAGCCCCCUAAAUCCAUGUCUCAACAAAGACUAACAAAAUGAGCCGGGGUCAGAGCACAAGCCCAAACAUUUCCUCCGUAGACAAAUCAGUGAACACAAUGGCUCUUCCAAAACUUAAAGCCAGGCAUUGGAUUUUCAGAAAGCUCGUCAUAGCCUCUCUUGCAGGGACCACCAAAGCAGUAUCCUGGUCCCAAAGACCGCAACCUCCUGCUAAGCCCCGAUCAGAGAGUCCUUUAUCAGCAGGUGGAUCUUACAAACCUUGCACACUUGCUCAGCAGGUUUCAGGUGAAGAGAAGAAAACCUCCGGUACUAUCCAAAGCGUCGAUUCAACCCUGGAGCUGCUCAAGCUGCCAAAAGAGAUUGACCAGCAGAGGGCGACAAAUGAGACCUUGGCAGAGACACAGGGCCAACUCAAAGAGACACCUCUCAGUACUACAAGAGAAAUGUUCCCCAAGACCAGUGUGCCGUCCACCUGUGUCAUCUGGUGUGUACAAGAUGUGCUGGGACUUUUAACAGCACCUUUUUGCAGCAGAAAUCAUAGCAUGCCUCCUCCCAUCAGCGUCCUGUGUUCCUGCUGUAGACUUCUGCAUUCGUAG